rnacentral:rRNA from 1 species
GAUGAACGCUGGCGGCGUGCCUAAUACAUGCAAGUCGAGCGAACAGACGAGGAGCUUGCUCCUCUGACGUUAGCGGCGGACGGGUGAGUAACACGUGGAUAACCUACCUAUAAGACUGGGAUAACUUCGGGAAACCGGAGCUAAUACCGGAUAAUAUAUUGAACCGUAUGGUUCAAUAGUGAAAGACGGUUUUGCUGUCACUUAUAGAUGGAUCCGCGCCGCAUUAGCUAGUUGGUAAGGUAACGGCUUACCAAGGCAACGAUGCGUAGCCGACCUGAGAGGGUGAUCGGCCACACUGGAACUGAGACACGGUCCAGACUCCUACGGGAGGCAGCAGUAGGGAAUCUUCCGCAAUGGGCGAAAGCUUGACGGAGCAACGCCGCGUGAGUGAUGAAGGUCUUCGGAUCGUAAAACUCUGUUAUUAGGGAAGAACAAAUGUGUAAGUAACUAUGCACGUCUUGACGGUACCUAAUCAGAAAGCCACGGCUAACUACGUG